rnacentral:rRNA from 1 species
GACGAACGCUGGCGGCGUGCUUAACACAUGCAAGUCGAGCGGUAAGGCCUCUUCGGGGGUACACGAGCGGCGAACGGGUGAGUAACACGUGGGUGACCUGCCCUCAGCUCUGGGAUAAGCCUGGGAAACUGGGUCUAAUACUGGAUAUUCACUUCCUAUCGCAUGGUGGGUGGUGGAAAGUUUUUUCGGCUGGGGAGUGGGCCCGCGGCCCAUCAGCUUGUUGGUGGGGUGAUGGCCUACCAAGGCGACGACGGGUAGCCGGCCUGAGAGGGCGUCCGGCCACACUGGGACUGAGACACGGCCCAGACUCCUACGGGAGGCAGCAGUGGGGAAUAUUGCGCAAUGGGGCGGAAGCCUGAACGCAGCGACGCCGCGUGGGGAUGACGGCCUC